rnacentral:tRNA from 1 species
GCCUCCGUAGCUAAAA